AUGCCACAGCUGUGGUACUGGUUGCAAAAGUUCAGAUUCAAUCCCUGCUUAGGAACUUCCAUAUGCCGCAGGCGUGGCCAUAAAAUAAAAAAUCAAUCAAAAAGUUUUUUAAAAUUUGCUCAGACAUAAAACCCACCAAAUCUGAUUAUAUAUAAAAAGAUCAAAUUGAAUUUCUUGGAGGAAUCUCCCCGAAGUAGGGUUCUAGGAGGACAGUCAGUAUGGAAGAAAUAGAGUAUAUUUCACAUACUGGUUUAUUUUGUGAUACCCAGUUUGAGGAAUAUAACACUUUUUUUUUUUCCCAUUUACCGGAGGGAGAUCUUUAUCUGACAAGGGUUUGAUAGAUCAAAUAAGGACACUUGUUUGCAUGUGCAGAUCACUUCUGAAUGACCCCAAAAAUUCCCUGGCAUUGGAUUAAUCUGGAGAGGAAUUCUACACCCUCUCACGUCCUCCCACUGCUUUACAGCUCGGACAGCCACGAAGAGGCUGACUCAGUUUUCGGGUAACAGCCAGCUUCCGGACUGAAGAGCCCUAAGUCAGCAACAGAGAUGUCAAUGGUUUGAUGCAUGGCGGGAUCUUACAAGUCUGCAGCAGAGCCAGACAGAACAACUGAUUCUAAAAUUUGUGUGGAAAACACAAAGACCUCAAAGAGCAAAAGCAAUUGAGAAAAAACAAAGCCCUAUUGCACUCCCUGAUUUCAAACUAUACCACAAAGCUAAGCAAUCAAAAAGUUUGGUACUGGCAUGAAAACAUAGAUCCAUGGAACAGAAUAGAGAGCCCAGAAGUGAACUCAGUUAUAUGGUGAAUUAAUCGAUAACAAAGGAGACAAGAACAUAUGAUAGGGAAAAGACAGCCUCCUUAGUAAAUGGUGUUGGGACAACUAGACAUCUACUGGCAAAAGAAUCAAAUUGGACUACUCUCUUAUGCCAUAUACAAAAAUAAACUCAAAAUGGAUUAAAGACUUAAAUGUAACAUUUGAAACUAUAAGAAACUGCAUCCUUACGGAUACUAGCCAGAUUCGAUUCUGCUGAGCCACGACGGGAACUCCAGCAGUUCACUCUUUGACAUUGGUUUGAGCAAUAAUUUUUUGCUAUGUCUCCUCAGGCCGGGGAAUCAAAAGCAAAAACAAAUAGGACUAUACUGAUCUAAAGAGCUUCUACAUAGAGAAGGAAACUAACAACAAAAUGAAAAUGCUAUCUACUGAAUGGGAGAAGUUAUUUCCAAAUGAUAAUAUUUCAUAAGGGAUUAGUAUCCAAAAUAUGUAGAGAACCCGGGAGUUCCCUUGUGAUGCAGCAGGUUAAGGAUCCAGUGUUGUUACUGAAACAGCUUGGGUCUCUGCUGUGAUGAGGGUUUGAUC